rnacentral:pre_miRNA from 1 species
CUCCAUGGAACAUUCAACGCUGUCGGUGAGUUUGGGAUUAAAAAACAAAAAAAAACCACCGACCGUUGACUGUACCUUGGGA